rnacentral:rRNA from 1 species
GAUGAACGCUGGCGGCGCGCCUAACACAUGCAAGUCGAACGGUUAAAGCACCUUUUAGGUGUGUAUAAAGUGGCGAACGGCUGAGUAACACGUGGGCAACCUGCCCUCCUCUUGGGGAUAGCCUCGGGAAACCGAGGAUAAUACCCGAUACUUCAAUGUGGCCGCAUGACGACAUUGAGAAAGCUUUUGCGGAGAAGGAUGGGCCCGCGGCCUGUUAGCUUGUUGGUGGGGUAGAGGCCUACCAAGGCAAUGAUGGGUAGCUGGGUUGAGAGACCGACCAGCCAGAUUGGGACUGAGACACGGCCCAGACUCCUACGGGAGGCAGCAGUGGGGAAUCUUGCACAAUGGGCGAAAGCCUGAUGCAGCGACGCCGCGUGCGGGACGAAGGCCUUCGGGUUGUAAACCGCUUUCAGCAGGGACGAGGCGAUAAGUGGCGGUACCUGCAGAAGAAGCCCCGGCUAACUACGUG